rnacentral:rRNA from 1 species
AUGCAAGCUCGAGCGGGGAUAACUUUCGGGCUUAUCUUAGUCGGCGGACGGGCUGAGCUAACGCGUGGGUAACUCUACCUCUAUAUAGGGGGAUAACGGAUAGAAAUGUCCGCUAAAACCGCAUGAGCUUCAUUUAUCGCAUGGUAGAUGGAGGAAAGGGAGACCGAUAUAAGAUGAGCUUGCGUCUGAUUAGCUAGUUGGUGGGGUAAAGGCCUACCAAGGCGACGAUCAGUAGCCGAUCUGAGAGGAUAGACGGCCACAUUGGGACUGAGACACGGCCCAAACUCCUACGGGAGGCAGCAGUGGGGAAUAUUGCACAAUGGGCGAAAGCCUGAUGCAGCAACGCCGCGUGAGGGAAGAAGGCUUUCGGGUUGUAAACCUCUAUCGACCGGGACGAAAAGAAUGACGGUACCGGGGUAAGAAGCACCGGCUAACUACGUGCCAGCAGCCGCGGUAAUACGUAGGGUGCAAGCGUUAUCCGGAAUUACUGGGUGUAAAGGGUGCGUAGGCGGUUAUAUAAGUCACAUGUGAAAUCUUCAGGCUUAACCUGAAGACUGCAUGAGAAACUGCAUAACUAGAGUACAGGAGAGGUAAGCGGAAUUCCUAGUGUAGCGGUAAAAUGCGUA